UGUGUUAGUGGAAGCGUCUGGAAAGGCGCGCGAUACAGGGUGACAGCCCCGUACACAAAAAUGCACAUGCUGUGAGCUCGAUGAGUAGGGCGGGACACGUGGUAUCCUGUCUGAAUAUGGGGGGACCAUCCUCCAAGGCUAAAUACUCCUGACUGACCGAUAGUGAACCAGUACCGUGAGGGAAAGGCGAAAAGAACCCCGGCGAGGGGAGUGAAAAAGAACCUGAAACCGUGUACGUACAAGCAGUGGGAGCACGCUUAGGCGUGUGACUGCGUACCUUUUGUAUAAUGGGUCAGCGACUUAUAUUCUGUAGCAAGGUUAACCGAAUAGGGGAGCCGAAGGGAAACCGAGUCUUAACUGGGCGUUAAGUUGCAGGGUAUAGACCCGAAACCCGGUGAUCUAGCCAUGGGCAGGUUGAAGGUUGGGUAACACUAACUGGAGGACCGAACCGACUAAUGUUGAAAAAUUAGCGGAUGACUUGUGGCUGGGGGUGAAAGGCCAAUCAAACCGGGAGAUAGCUGGUUCUCCCCGAAAGCUAUUUAGGUAGCGCCUCGUGAAUUCAUCUCCGGGGGUAGAGCACUGUUUCGGCAAGGGGGUCAUCCCGACUUACCAACCCGAUGCAAACUGCGAAUACCGGAGAAUGUUAUCACGGGAGACACACGGCGGGUGCUAACGUCCGUCGUGAAGAGGGAAACAACCCAGACCGCCAGCUAAGGUCCCAAAGUCAUGGUUAAGUGGGAAACGAUGUGGGAAGGCCCAGACAGCCAGGAUGUUGGCUUAGAAGCAGCCAUCAUUUAAAGAAAGCGUAAUAGCUCACUGGUCGAGUCGGCCUGCGCGGAAGAUGUAACGGGGCUAAACCAUGCACCGAAGCUGCGGCAGCGACGCUGAUGCGUUGUUGGGUAGGGGAGCGUUCUGUAAGCCUGUGAAGGUGUGCUGUGAGGCAUGCUGGAGGUAUCAGAAGUGCGAAUGCUGACAUAAGUAACGAUAAAGCGGGUGAAAAGCCCGCUCGCCGGAAGACCAAGGGUUCCUGUCCAACGUUAAUCGGGGCAGGGUGAGUCGACCCCUAAGGCGAGGCCGAAAGGCGUAGUCGAUGGGAAACAGGUUAAUAUUCCUGUACUUGGUGUUACUGCGAAGGGGGGACGGAGAAGGCUAUGUUGGCCGGGCGACGGUUGUCCCGGUUUAAGCGUGUAGGCUGGUUUUCCAGGCAAAUCCGGAAAAUCAAGGCUGAGGCGUGAUGACGAGGCACUACGGUGCUGAAGCAACAAAUGCCCUGCUUCCAGGAAAAGCCUCUAAGCAUCAGGUAACAUCAAAUCGUACCCCAAACCGACACAGGUGGUCAGGUAGAGAAUACCAAGGCGCUUGAGAGAACUCGGGUGAAGGAACUAGGCAAAAUGGUGCCGUAACUUCGGGAGAAGG
rnacentral:rRNA from 1 species